rnacentral:pre_miRNA from 1 species
UCAGUACUCCCUCCAUCCGGAAAUACUUGUCGAAAAAAUGGAUAAAAAUGAAUGUAUCUAGAACUAAGAUAUGUCUAGAUACAUCCAUUCCUUUAACAAGUAUUUCCGGACGGAGGGAGUACGUU